GUGCGAAAAAGAAAGAAGGCCAAAGGGAAGAAGGUGGUGCUGACCCUUGCGGUCUUGAAAAAGCAGGAGACCAUGAAAGUGGUGAAUCUUCCAUUUGAGAAAUUUGGCACUGGACAGGACAUUUUGGCAUUGGACAGAACAUCCAGCCCAAAAGGGACCUCACUUGCUUUGUCAAAUGGCCCCAUUAUACUAGGUUGCAGCAGCAGAGAGCCAUCCUCUAUAAGCAGCUAGAAGUGCCUUCUGUGAUUAGUCAGUUCACCAGGGCCUUGGACCACCAAACAGCUGCUCAAUGGGGUAAGCUGGCUGGCAAGUACAGACCAGAGACAAAGCAAGAGAAGCAGCAGAGACUGUUGGCCUGGGCUGAGAAGAAAGCAAAGGAGACAUCCCCACUGAGAGAUCACCUGUCCUUUUAAUGGGGGUUAACGCUGUCACCACCUUAGCGGAGAAAAAGAAGGAUCAGCUGGUGAUGACUACACAGGACAGAGAUCCCAUUGAGUUGGUUGUCUUCCUGCCUGCCCUGUGUUGUAAACUGGGGGUUCCUUACUGCAUUAUCUAAUGGAAGGCAAGCUUGAGACAUCUAG
rnacentral:lncRNA from 1 species